rnacentral:tRNA from 1 species
AAGUAAGAAGCGAUAAAUUGCAAUUAGUUUCGACCUAAUUCUAGAUGAUUUUCAUCAUCCUUAUUUU